rnacentral:rRNA from 1 species
AAUGAACGCUGGCGGCAGGCCUAACACAUGCAAGUCGAACGCCCCGCAAGGGGAGUGGCGCACGGGUGAGUAACGCGUGGGAAUAUGCCCUUCGGUUCGGAAUAACACAGGGAAACUUGUGCUAAUACCGGAUACGAUCUACGGAUGAAAGAUUCAUCGCCGAAGGAGUAGCCCGCGUAGGAUUAGCUAGAUGGUGAGGUAAUGGCUCACCAAGGCGACGAUCCUUAGCUGGUCUGAGGGGAUGAUCAGCCACACUGGGACUGGGACACGGCCCUAACUCCUACGGGAGGCAGGAGUGGGGAAUAUUGGGCAAUGGGCGAAAGCCUGGUCCAGCCAUGCCGCGUGAGUGAUGAAGGCCUUAGGGUUGUAAAGCUCUUUCGCCAGGGAAGAUAAUGACGGUACCUGGAAAAGAAGCCUCGGCUAACUCCGUGCCAGCCGCCGCAGUAA